rnacentral:rRNA from 1 species
UACGAAGGGGGCUAGCGUUGCUCGGAAUCACUGGGCGUAAAGGGUGCGUAGGCGGGUCUUUAAGUCAGGGUGAAAUCCUGGAGCUCAACUCCAGAACUGCCUUGAUACUGAAGAUCUUGAGUUCGGGAGAGGUGAGUGGAACUGCGAGUGUAGAGGUGAAAUUCGUAGAUAUUCGCAAGAACACCAGUGCGAAGGCGGCUCACUGGCCCGGUACUGACGCUGAGGUGCGAAAGCGUGGGAGCAACAGG